UUUAAGAAAUGAUGCUAAAAUUAUUAGAUAUCACAGACUUUAACAAUGCUGAAUAUAUUGUAUAUGCACAUCAGUCUGAUCUGAAA